rnacentral:rRNA from 1 species
UACAGAGGGUGCAAGCGUUAAUCGGAAUUACUGGGCGUAAAGGGCUCGUAGGCGGCCAACUAAGUCAUACGUGAAAUCCCUCGGCUUAACCGGGGAACUGCGUCUGAUACUGGAUGGCUUGAGUUCGGGAGAGGGAUGCGGAAUUCCAGGUGUAGCGGUGAAAUGCGUAGAUAUCUGGAGGAACACCGGUGGCGAAGGCGCUCUGCUAGGCCGCAACUGACACUGAGGGACGAAAGCUAGGGGAGCGAAUGGG